GUCUGUUUCCACGGUCGCUACACAAAUAGUAGCAGGAAAAUCUAUAGUCACGUGACAGUGUUGUGAUUUCAGUCGCCGUAGUUUCUAUUACAUUGUGCUCAAUUGCUCUUUCGAAAAAUCUCAUUUUCACGUUUAAUUUUGACAUUUUUCGAUUGUAAUUAAAAUUCAUAUAUCGAGAGUAUUCCGUCGUUGAAGAUGCUUCAUUCGGUGAUUGUUGGCGUUGGUGUGGCUAUCGCAGCAGGACUUGCAUACGCAAUCGCUGUUCAAUACUUCUCAGAAUCUCGAUACACGAAUCAACAACAUUUUUACGAACCUCGCGACCCUGACAUCUCCAACGUAUCAACGUUCGGUGAUUGUUCUCAUUGUGACGGUCCCGUUGACGCUUUGAAUGGAUAUGCACUGGCUUGCAAUCACCCUCUUCAUUAUACGUGUUCGACUUACAUAAAAGGCAUUCUGAAAGACUCGACAAAGUUGUGCAGAAUCUGUGUGGACUCGAAUCCGAGAAGGCCGAAGAAGAUUUGAGCGAAGGAAAUCGAAGUCGUCCAAAUUUCAAAACUUUGUCGUUUUCACACAAAGUUCAUGGAUUUUUAUGGAUGCAGGAACUUCAACGGUAAUUUCGGACAUUUGCCCUUCGAUUCCCCGGGCUUUUGACCCCCACCGACUGGUGCUUAACAGCCGCAAUACGCAGAAAACGAUCGACGAUAAUGAAAUCACUCCAAAUGAAUCUAACGACAAAUAACCGAUUUGUUAAUGAAUUUUUUAUGGCGCAAAAGUAGAAUUUCGUCCAGUCACUUCGAGUACUUCCGUAACAGUUAAAUCCCACUUAAUACAAUUUUCAAAAUUGAAUCUAUUCAGCGGUGUAAAAAUAUCGUCCAGUACAGUUUACAACGAUUUUUUUAAAUUGGAUAAAAAAUAAAUAUAGAAAAAAAUGAAUUAGAGCCUCGAGACGAAAAUUCAAAUUUGAAAAACAGCCGUAGCUCCAUCUCUGUGUAAAUUAUUGACAAUAAUAAAAAAAAAACUAUUUUAUCGACA